rnacentral:rRNA from 1 species
UUAAGUCCCACAACGAGCGCAACCCCUAUCCUUAGUUGCCAUCAGGUAAUGCUGGGGACUCUGAGGAAACUGCCUACGCAAGUAGUGAGGAAGGUGGGGAUGACGUCAAAUCAUCACGGCCCUUACGUCUAGGCCUACACACGUGCUACAAUGGUCAAUACAGAGGGUCGCUACCUGGUGACAAGAUGCUAAUCUCGAAAAUUGAUCUCAGUUCGGAUCGAAGUCUGCAACUCGACUUCGUGAAGUUGGAUUCGCUAGUAAUCGCACAUCAGCCAUGGCGCGGUGAAUACGUUCCCGGGCCUUGUACACACCGCCCGUCAAGCCAUGGAAGUUGGGGGUACCUGAAGUCGAUAACCGUAAGGAAUCGCCUAAGGUGAAACUAAUGACUGGGGCUAAGUCGUAACAAGGUA